rnacentral:lncRNA from 1 species
CAGCGCCCGCUCUUUCCUUGUGGUGACUAAUGGGGGAAAUUCAGGCAAGCCUGCCUGAGGCCCACUAAUCUCCAUCGGCCAGGAGAAUGCACAUUGAUCAGAUGGCGCCUUCACUCACAGUGUCCCCUGCACCCACCCUGCAAGGAAGCCCCUUCCUCCAUCUCAUUUCGAGCCCUCUUUUACCUACCCCUAUUCCACCCCUCCAAACAAAGCUGUCCUGACCACCUCUUCCCAGAGAGAGCUCUCCUCCCCCUGCGCCUGGGGCAUCUGCAGACUGAAGGCAUAGUGGAACCCUAUGUUCCCAGCGCUGACUGGGAGCUGCGCCCCAAAUAAGUGCUAGGUAAGUAUGGUUGAAACAAAUGAAUGAAUGAAUGAAUGACCACUUUAUUACACAGCAGCAUCAGGAGCCUCACAGAGGUUAGGUCCAAAGUUAGCAAAUAACAUCCAAAGAGCUCAAAGUUUAAAUCAGCCUUGAAACUCCAUCUGGAAGGCGUAAACCUCUCACUAAGUCCAGCAGGACCAUGUUCCUUCCACAAGACCUGUCUCCUCAGAUACCUACCCCCCCCCCAAAAAAAACCUCAGGAGAGGGACCUAGUCCUUCUCCCUCCCCCACCCAGAAUCCCAGAUGUUGGCCCAAGACACGGAGAUGACAGGAGCACUGCAGGGAUUCUCGGGGUUUAUCCCACGUGUUCCCCCCAAAGAACCCACAACUUGAAAUCUUAAAAAUAAGACGCUCUCCAUCCUCUCUCAUUCUCCUCCAAGGGCUGCUUCUCUGUUGCCAUGGCAGCCAGGCCAGGGUCCGGUAGCUCCUUGGAAGGUCCAACAGGCUGAGGAUGAAGCCAUUGAGAGGCACAGAGGAGGCGACAAGGUGGGCAGCAGACACUGGACGCCUGGAGUGAAUGGCCUGUACGCCCAAGUCUUAAAGAACCCUGAAGUACACGGAGAAAUGCUUUCCAGCUUCAGGCAUGAAAAGGGAAGUGCUAUAGGCUAGAGCCCAAAAGUACCAGCCAGGAGGGGACAGCUGUUCCUCUUACCUCAUCUUUCCCCCAGAGUCCAGUGCGUUUUCCCCACCUUUUUAUUGGACAAUUUCCAAACAUAGAGAAAAAUAGAAAGAAUAUACAAGCACUCAUGAAACCUCCAGCUAGAUACAACAAUUGCUAAUCUUUUGCCUGCGUCUCCAUCUACCUAUCUGUAUUUGAAACAUCUGAGAGUGGGCUACAGACAUGGAGACUCAACAGCUUUAGCUUUAGCUGAUUGCUUUAGCAGCACUGUCGGUUAAGUCUCCAACUCUUGGGUUUCAGCUCAGGUCGUGAUCUCAGAGUCCUGAUCUCAGGGUCAUGAGUUCAAGCCCCAUGUUGGGCUCCACACUCAGCACAGGGUCUGCUUACAUUCUCCGUCCCUCUCUCCCUCUACUGCUCCCAUCAUACAUGCACGCAUGCUCUCAUGCUCUCUCUCUCAAAUAAAUAAACACAUCUUUAAAAAAAACAACAACUUGUAACUAACAUUUAUUCUAAGUAAAGAAGCUUUGCAUGACUAGAAAAAUAAGGGAGGGUCAGGGAUUAUAGAGUAAAAUCAUACCAAGCCAAGCCUGAAUUUGUCCUCAGAAACUUCUAAAUUGGAUUCUCAUCACAGAAGAACAAGUAAGCCUUUCAGCUCUGCCAAACAUCUACCCAGGAAGCUUCUAGGUAUAUAUUUAACAGCAAGCCUGCAAGUCGUGUAUUUAUAUUUCCCGAAAUAAUAUUUUGUGAAACUGUGGCUAUUCUACAAAUGUAUUCUGAUCGCAUAGUAGGUGCUUGAAAAGUCCAAGUGCAACCGCCCCUGGGGUGGUACCAAAUCUUCCAGGCUCUUCACCUGGGUCACCUGGGGGCUGACUCAGCUUCGGUUGGCCCCAACCCAGCCUCUUGAGAAUGGCUUCUAUUUACUCAAAGAGGAUCCUUUUGGUCCCACUGGACACCUGCUCUAGCAGUGCUGAGACCUCCUUAGCCACCCAGUCCUCUCUUUUCUUCUUAUCAAAUCCCUAAUCUAUCUGUGGCCAGUAUCACAAGUUAGCUGUUAUUUGUCCUUUGUUUUCUCACCAUGAGUUGGUCUUAUUUCCCCAAGCAGAGCCUAACACCCUCUCCUCUUUCAACAGCUCGAGCUUUUUCAGCUAGAAUUGGUUAUGGACUC